rnacentral:lncRNA from 1 species
AUUUAGAUUUUAUAUAUCAACUAACACAUAUAUAUCCAUUAUACAUUCUUCUCAUUUGAGUCCAAAUAGCUAAUAGAUAAUAAGGAAACAUAACAUCUAUGAAACAUUACAUAUAUUAAGAAAUAAAUUUCAUGCGUGUUUCAUCUGUCACAUGAUAAAUUCCCAUCCUUUUCAUUUCAUAUAUGCAUAUCCAUUUUUCCAUUUCAUAUGAACAUUAAGUUUUUAUACAUGCCUUUCCUAACAUUUACUUACCCGUUGAACCAUCUAGAAUUUCAUCGGAUACUCGGGAAUGCUCACACAUAUUGUGCCUUUUCAUGUAAUCAUAACCUUUCCUUUUCAAUAAUGCUCACACGAGCUACGAAAUGGGUCUGCUCACACGAGCUGUGGGUCGGAACAUUUGCUACACGAUGCUGCUCACACGAGCUAUAGAGAAUCCGCAACAAAUACAAUACCUCAAUUAUCGGUAGGACAUUCAAAACCAGAACUCGAAACCGUAUAAUCCCUAAUGACAUGUUACUUGUAUUCUAAGAAUUCACAUGGCUCAAAAGGGACCGUUUUACAUAUCCAAGCCUUAAUUGGCAUUCAAUAUUUCCUUUUCACAUAUACAUUUACUUUAUCAUAUUAACAUUUGAGUACCUUAUCCAAACCAAAACAUUUAUCAUUCAAAUUAAUUUACAUCCCAUUUUAUUCUAUUUAUCAAAAUAUUAUACAACUACUAAUCUAAUCUGUUUUUAACAAAAAUAUUUAUUAAAAUUACAUUCAAAACAUUACAUGAUAAUUUAGUCCUUAAACGAACUUACCUUAAUUAGAACGGUUACUAAAAUAAAGUAUUCAACAACUAAUUUGGAACCUUAGCUUUUUCCUUGAUUUAAAUCCAAUUGUAGCGUUUCUUGAUCUAAAUAAUAUAAAUUCAUUUAAUUAAAUAAUUCAAAUAGCUUAAAAUAAUUAAUUCAAGCCUAUAACUCAUUUUAAUGUGAAUUUACAAAAUUGCCCCAACAAAUUUCUUUUUAUUCAAUUUAAUACUUAGACCCAUAACUUGAACAUUUUCCAUUUUUAAAAGGGAACCCAUGUUAGCCGAUUUUCUCAGGAUUUCUAAAGAGUCUAUUUCCAUCAAAAUUUCACAUCAAAUCCCAUGAAUUUUACUCUUUUAACAAAUUAAUCCUUUAACAUUAAAAUUACUAAAAAUCACUUAACAAAAUACUUCUAUUUAUUAUCCAAGCUUAAUAAUCUUUCAAUUAAAUCUACAAACACACUUAAACCAUUCAUAGCAAGUCCGUAAACUUUUAACAAUUUUACAAAAUAACCCCAAACUAGCUAGAUUAAACUAAAUCGAUCUCAAAAAUAUAAAAAUUACUGAAAACAAAUUGAAAACACAUACCAUGCAAUUGUAAACAACCUUGACCGAAUGCUUGCUUAAACUCCCAUGGAUGUUUCGGUUUGUUGCUCCACUAAGAAAGAAGAUGAUAACAUGUUCUUUUAUUUGUUUAUG